AUUGAACGCUGGCGGCAUGCCUUACACAUGCAAGUCGAACGGCAGCACGGGUGCUUGCACCUGGCGGCGAGUGGCGAACGGGUGAGUAAUACAUCGGAACAUGUCCUGUAGUGGGGGAUAGCCCGGCGAAAGCCGGAUUAAUACCGCAUACGAUCUACGGAUGAAAGCGGGGGACCUUCGGGCCUCGCGCUAUAGGGUUGGCCGAUGGCUGAUUAGCUAGUUGGGGGGGUAAAGGCCUACCAAGGCGACGAUCAGUAGCUGGUCUGAGAGGACGACCAGCCACACUGGGACUGAGACACGGCCCAGACUACUACGGGAGGCAGCAGUGGGGAAUUUUGGACAAUGGGCGAAAGCCUGAUCCAGCAAUGCCGCGUGUGUGAAGAAGGCCUUCGGGUUGUAAAGCACUUUUGUCCGGAAAGAAAUCCUUGGCCCUAAUACGGUCGGGGGAUGACGGUACCGGAAGAAUAAGCACCGGCUAACUACGUG
rnacentral:rRNA from 1 species